AGGUUUAGUUUUGUUUCUAAAGUAACGAAUGUAUGUGGUGUAUUAUACCACAUCUCGUUCCGUAAAGGUGAUGUUUUUUCAUAUUCGCGAUAAAAGUUGAAAGAAAAUCGCAAAAACCGGCGAUAAUUCACGUCUAAAACAUAUUAAUAUCAUCCCUUAGAGCUGCCGUUUUUAAUGUUCGGUGACAAACUCGAAAAAGUGAUUUGUGUUUAUUUUUCAAGUGGAUACAUGUGAACUAUAUAGGUACAUCUCUAUUCCCACCUAACAAUGCGAGUGGAUUUUGUUGAUCCACGAAGAGAUGCCGUAGUAGCACCGGUCCAUAUACCUUGGAGAUAUUAGUGCUAGAUAGUGUUAGUUUUAUCGGCAAACAGUGAAAAAAAUCGCGUCAUCGUCGUCUUGGUGCGCAGUGGCGUGCUGCAGGGAUGGGGACGGGGGGCAGUUGACGGCGGGGCAAUCGAAGGAUAACGGAAGGCGACAGGGCGACCAUUUGGGUGACAGACGGCAAUGCGGUCUGUGCUCAUUGGUCGCCCGUGUCUUCCGGAGGGCGGUAUGUGGGUCGACGAGUCGAAGAAGCAGCGAUGACUCCUAUCGUAUAUUAACUGGACCGCCGCCGGACGAAGAUAAUACAGUAUCUAGACAGCCUGUAAUAACUAUUGACGUCGUUGGCAGCAAUGUCAAGUAUAUACGAGCUCAAUCGGAAAUUCCGGUACUACAACGGAUGUUUUCGAAGGAAGAUUGGGUCUUGCUGGACGCUAUGGGAACAGGCCCUACACCAGCUUGUCAUGGGAAAUUUCUCACGAUGCACAAGCGGCGACGCAAAAAGCUUACAACGCGAUCUUUAGCACAAGAUCAUGCAAUACUUGAUGACAUUCAUCAUGGACAGGUCCAGAGAAUUCUUGACCGAUGCGGUAAAUGGGCGUUUAAUGCCUUUACUUUAGAAACAGUUGCCGGUGGAAGAUCGCUGCCCGUUUUAUGUGUUCACCUUUUCCACUGGUACGGACUAUUAGAUUACUUCCAUUUAGAUGUCGUACGAGUAUGGAAGCUAUUUACUCUUAUAGAAGAAGGAUAUCAUAGUACGAAUCCUUAUCACAAUUCCAUUCACGCGACUGAUGUAACUCAAGCAAUGCAUUGUUUUUUACAGGAAGAACGGAUAAGGCGUCACGUGACACCUUUAGAAAUUAUGGCAUCACUGAUUGGUGCGGUUGCUCAUGACUUAGAUCAUCCUGGUGUUAAUCAGCAUUUCCUCAUUUCCACUUCGAAUCAUCUUGCCAUUUUGUAUCAAAAUAAAUCGGUUUUGGAAAAUCAUCAUUGGAGAUCAGCAGUCGGUUGUCUUUUGGAAAGUGGUGUCGCUGAACAACUUACACCUUAUAGAGAUGAACUGGAAAAACAGAUACGUGAUCUCAUUUUAGCCACGGAUAUUAAUAGACAAAACGAAUUCUUAACCAAAUUUAAAAAACAUCUAGACGAAGGCACUUUAGACUUGAAAAAGCCCGAACAUAGACAGUUCAUUAUGCAAAUAGCCUUAAAGUGCGCGGAUAUUUCGAAUCCCACCCGGCCUUGGGAUAUAUCCAGGAAAUGGAGUUUAAAAGUCUGCGACGAAUUCUUCAGACAAGGGGAAUUCGAGAGGAAACUGAAUCUUCCUGUGACUUCCAUAUGUGAUAAGCAAUCCACUUCUGUUGCCAAAAUUCAAGUCGGAUUUUUCAAAAACGUAGUGAGUCCGUUAUUCGCUGAAUGGCACAGAUUUAUGAAAAGCACACUUUCAACGCACAUGAUGAACAUUUUGGACGAUAAUCAAAAAAGAUGGGAAGCUCAAGAAAAGGCCGAACAAGCCGAAGAAACUCAAACGGAAUUAUCGGACGCAGAUCCGGAAGUAGUAAGUGAAGAAGAAGAUGAACAACUGUCGACAAAAACCUCAGGAACUCAUAGCAUACAAGAAUAUAUAUCGCCUCCUCCAAGAGACAUCAGAAGACAAUCACUAGCUGUUCCGACGUUAGAAUCGUUAGGAGUAAGAAGACAUUCUGUACCAGUAAAUAUGGAUCAAUCACUGCCACGAACAAUAUAUAGAAGAGAGAGCCUACCGACAGGUAGAGGUAUCCCGUUCGGUAGAUCGCCCGUAAGCCCCCAGACUGAAUCAAGAGCUUCCAGUGGCCUUAGGGAGGAAGACGAAUUGUUACGGUAUGGCUCACAAUCUGACGCAUCUUCUUCUAGUCCGCUUCAUUCGUCAGAAGAACAACCAGAGAGGCCUUUAAGUGCUGAAAAUCUACUACCAGAACCGAGCAUAGCGUCCAUGACAAGUAAUACCGCUGUUAGUAGACUAACAUCUGUCCUACAAGGCAACACCUUACCCCCAACUAAGUGUUUAACGAGACAACAAACUUUUCCCCCGCCUCAACCGUACAUGCGAAUGAGAUACAUGUCUGCUACAGCUGAAAUGAGUACCUGCACAGAAACCCCAUACGAAGGUGAUAGUCGUUCGAACUCGUCUCACGGUUCCCAUGAACACAUAUCAAAUAAUCUGAGCUCUAUACCUCAGUACACUAUACCAGCAAUAGCUGUAUUGAGUCCAAACAACAGUCGACCUCCGGAUCUUCUAUUACCGGAAGCGACGUUACCGACACCUCCGGCCCAAAAGACGUUCGCUAAUAACAAAAGGGAAACGGAGGCGGUAGAAAAGGAGAAGACCUGCAAGAUGGUUAAGCUGUCCGAACCAGGACAGAGAUACGAGAAGGAGAAUGUCGACCCCAGGAGAUUAGCUGCGACGAGUCUAGGUAAACGGAGGGGUUCAGCUCCAGUGUCGCUUCCAUUAUCAAAACCCGAGGAAAAAAAUCCCCCUGCAGGCGGGGGGCUUUUAAUGUCCGAUACACAAUCCUUGAGAAGAGGAUCAGUGCCAAAUGAAUUUGCUCAUUUUCAUUUCGUCGAUGACGAAAACCUCGAACAACCUCUUAUAACUUCAGUGGAAACAAAGUCGUACUCACAAUUUCCACGACGAGGUUCCGCGCCGACUGACCUACCCCCAAUAUUUGGCGGAGCCGGCGAAAGACGCGAACAACUCACAAGACAUACUAGUCUUAACGGUAAAGCGGGAAGAAGAAAAAAACAAUUGAAGAGGAGAAGUUCGGGCGGGCCCGAAACCGUUCUCCUACCGGAAUCCCAUUCUGAGAUUAUAUCUCGACUUUUUCUACAUCGGAGACCUGAAAGUUCCGAAGCGCUGCUGGUUCGGCGAAGAGGAUCACUGCCUAUUGAAGUCCUGACUGUUGGGCACUCCGGUAUUGUUACAAAUGUUGGAAGGAGCCAUUCUUUCGGAAUCAUUUCUGUGUUAUAAAUGGUGUCUGAACAUGUCUACAAGUACCCCUAUUUAACUUCUGUUGUGUCAAUUUGAUUAUCUCUUCUGGAAUUUCGUCGCGAACAGUGUUUUGACGGUUACCCCUAUCGCCAUUAGGGCCCUGGACAUCACCGUCCAACGUGCAAUAAGGACCAACAUUCACUUGACUGACAUCCACCUUCACUAGCUAGUUCAUUAUUUAUAAAUCAUCAGUCAUCAUACAAGCCAAAUAAUCAUGAAUGUUCUAGUUGUCACUAAAAUUGAUUGUUAGAAAAAUUUUAUGUUUAAGUGCGCAGUGUAUGUGACGAAUAGAUUUUGAACUUCCUAAUAUAUAGGAAUUGAAUUAAUUUAUUUUAAAAAAAUUUGUUGCCCGUAUAAAUUUUUUAUAUUGAUGAUACAUUGUACAAUUUUGUGUACCUUGUUUUUAUUUUAUGAUUUUUUUUGUUAUGUUUGUGACGAUUUCUGUGCUAUUUGGAAACAGUUUUCUACAAAACUUAGAGGAAUAAAAUGUUUGUAAUCGAGGGAUGCAAACCCCAUCUUUGUUUUCUCUAUUUUCUUCCAUUGUUAUUUUGCAAAGAUUUUUUCUCAUUUUGAUAUACCUUACAGAAGAAUGAACUGAAUCUAUACGAGAAUCCAACCGGAUCUAUACGAGAAUCGAAUAUAAAUAAACAGAAUCGAUAUAUGAAUCUAAAAAGAUUAAUUUCAUCUAUAUUUGAUUAUUGCGGAGCAUAUUGGAUUCAACAUGAAUCAGAUCGAUUUCAAAUCAUAUUGAUUAGAUAUCUGAAUCUAAGUAAAUCGAAUGAAAAUGACAACCAAAUAUAUAACAUGUGAAUCGAGUCUACACGAAUUAUUUGUAAGAAUCAAUUCAUAUCCAUUAGAUUGCGUAUAUUCGAUUCAUUAUGAUUCAAAUCGAUUUCAAAUAGUAUUGAUAUGAAUAAAUCUAAUGAAAAUGACAUGUGAAUCGAGUCUACACGAAUUAUUUAUAAGAAUCGAUUCAUAUCCAUAAGAUUCGUAAUAUUGCGGUGCAUAUUCGAUUCAACAUAAUUCAAAUCUCUUUCAAAUAGUAUUGAUAUGAAUGAAUCGAAUGAAAAUGACAUGUGAAUCGAGUUUACACGAAGUAUUUAUAGGAAUCGAUUCAUAUCCAUAAGAUUCUUAAUAUUGCUGUGCUUAUUCGAUUCAUCAUGAUUCAAAUCGAUUUCAAAUAUUAUUGAUAUGAAUAAAUCGAAUGAAAAUGACAUGUCAAUCGAGUAUACACGAAUUACUUAUAGGAAUAUCCAUUAGAUUACACAUAUUCGAUUCAUUAUGAUUCAGGUCGAAUUCAAAAAGAAUGGAUUGGAUAUCAUAAUCUAAAUGAAUCGAAUGAAAAUGAUAUGUAACUCAUUUCAAACGAUUCAUAUCCAUGAAAUUCGUGAUAUUUCGGUGCAUAUUCGAUUUAUAAUGAUUCAGAUCGAUUUCAAAUAGAAUUGAUAUGAAUAAAUCGAAUACAAAUGAUAUGUGAAUCGAGUCUACACGAAUAAUUGAUUUUAAAUUGAUUUUCUAUCAAAAUUUCAUCACCAUUAAAUUAUCAUGCGACUCCUAUUAUAUCAAGAAUUCAUUUGGGAAUUCCGUAAUUAACAGGACAAUAUUUUUAUUUUUUUUUUGUUUUUUCUAAAAAUCUUCUUGAUUUUAAGUCUCUUUUGAUGGAAAAUUAGUUGAGGAAAUUUAUUUUUAUUAUUUAUUCAUAGUUCUAAUUGUAUUUGAAAUAUCUUUUCUAAAUAAUUUAUCAAUUGUAUAUGAAGCGUAAAAUAAACUUUUUGAUUUUGAAGAUUAGUAUGGCCUAACAAAUUAUUAAUUUUAAGAUUUAAAUAGAAAAAAAUCUUUGCAGAAUUUCAUUUCUUAUGCAUAUUUCAGUUUUGAAACAUCACUCAGUAAUAAAAAUAACUGUUGAAUGUGAUUCAAUUUGUAAUGUGCUGUAUACUGUAUGUAAAGUAGUUGGUAGUGGUAUUGAACGGAAAUAUAUCAAAAUAAGCACAAACUGAAAGAGAGAAAUACUUUAAAAAUUGAUAAAAAAAUAUCACAGAUUAUACAACAUUCCAUAUUUCAAUAGAUAUUUCAUCUUAAUCCUCCUAUACCACAAUUGUAAUGAUUUAACUUUGAAUUUUUUAUGUAUUUGCAUUCAAUAUUUCUUAUUGUUUCCAUUAAACUUUCCAAAAGUUUUCAUACAAAUUUCAAUCCAUAUCGUAUAUAAAUUGGAAGCAAUUUCGCUUAUUCUAAUUUUCUUCAUCCCGCAGUGGCGGGCACUUGAGGUUUUUAGGAAAAAUUUGGAAAAACGUAUCUUUAUUGACUAAAUCAACCAAUAUUAAAAUCAGAAUAAACAAAACGACAACAAAGUCUGCAUAAAUAUAUCUUUUGUAGACUCGUCCAUGCAGGUGAACUCCUUUCGUCUGAGAAGAGAACGGAGCCCCAUUCUUCGUCAAUCUAGACGGGUGAAGUGUGUGAACUGGGGUUAAUCUGGGGCCAGCAGUUGGCCUUUUUGGCUAAAGAUUAGCUGCCCUUAAGACUUCUUCUGACUGUCCAGCCACUCCUCGGGGUUUCUCUGUACUUUUAUUAGACCGAAACACUAGUGAGGGCCCGAUCUCUUAGCGAUGUGCUGACAAUUAAGUCUUCUCUUUUGGAUGUGCACCUUUCUUUUUCGGAACCGCGCCCUUGAUGAAAGUUAACAGUAUCUUGGUAACGACGAUAAACUUUGGAAACACCAGACCGACUCAUGUUCAACACACCGGCUACUUUUCGCUAAUUCUGGCAUUGUCGCAAUAGAGUAACUGCUUGAGCAACUUUAUCACUUGUUGUGUUUAAUUGCAAGUAGAACUCUUGUUUGUUAACUGAGAUGUGUGUCGAUUGGCUUUGAUAAUGGUGGGUUAAGUAGAAAACCUUUUAUAAGGCCAGUUACCCCUAAUUAGCAACAAGCAUAAAAGGGUGUUUACUAAUAUAUUGGAUUAUGAGAACAAGGAACAUUUUUCAAGAUUUUACUAAAAAAAAAACAAUUUCUUGUUCAGUUUUUUGACGGUGAUAUUGCCUGCGUUGAUUUUUUUGUUGCUAAUGAUUGUAGUAAUUGAAGGUAAUCAGCUAUAACUCAAAAACAAAUGCUGCUAGUAAAUAUUUGUUACCGUACUGAAUACAUUGUUUACAUCACCACUACACCAACACUAACAAUUACACUGUGUGACGCGCGUUUCGAUAACCAAGUUAUCGUCUUCAGAGACUGAAUGGAAAUUAAAACCUAAUGACUUGACUGUUUUAUACUAAAUUUUCCCACCAAUAAACCUUCAACCUCGAAACUCAAUUCCAGUGGGAACCUCUUUAGACUAGUAAACUAUGAAGUGGGCUGUAAGGAAUUGGCCCUUUGUCCCUAUUUAAGUUACUCUUACAUUUAGCAAUUUUAAUGCUUUCAAAUGCAUCCAACAAUUUAUUAUUGGAUACAUUUUUUAACAAUUUUAACUUAUCAAUAUUGAGUGGUAUAUAUGAAAUUAGCUGUGGAGACUGUGAUGGGAAGUAUAUUGGGCAGACUAAGAGAUCCGUUAUUGUCCGGUUUAAAGAGCACAUUUAAAAUAUGGACGGAAAAUCAAGUAUUGCCGAUCACGCUGUCAGUCAUAAUCAUGACAUGAAUAUAAAUAUUGUAAAAUUGUUAAAAAAUGUAUCCAAUAAUAAAUUGUUGGAUGCAUUUGAAAGCAUUGAAAUUGCUAAAUGCAAGAGUAGCUUAAAUAUGGACAAAGAGCCAAUUCCUUACAGCCCACUCUAUAGUUUAGUAGUCAACAAAUAAAUGUGAAGAUUUUGAUGGGAAUAUUUAUAUAAAACAGGUAAGUCAUUAGAUUUUAGUUUACCUUCAUUCUCUGAAGACGAUAGCUUAGUUACCGAAACGCACGUCAGGCAGUAUAAUCGUGAGUGUUGGUGUAUUCAGUAUGGUUCCAGAAAUUCCAACUUAGUUGUUACCAUAUUUAUAAAAUGUUUGUCAGUUUGAGAUAGAAACAAAAAUCACAGGAAACAAAUAAAUUUGAUGUUUAGUAUAUUAAUUAAUAAAAGAAAAACUUUUAAAUUAAAUUAUAAUUUGUAAUGAUAAUUUCCAGUAGAAUUUUUGGUAAUUUUAUACUAUUGCAGCACCCCCGUAUUUUUGGCUCUAGAUUUCUUAUUUUAAUUUGGAAAAAUAUCUCACUUCAAAACGCCAUAUGGUUAAAUAACCCACUUUUUUUAAUAUAAACGUUCACAACUUCUAUAUUUUUUGUAUAAAUCGAAAUUUUUUUUUAUUCUCUUAGUUUUUUUUCGUGAAACCAAUUUUAUAGAAAAAGAAACGAGGGAACUAUAGAAUAACCGUAUUCUUGAACAUUUCUCUCAGUGUAGUAUUCCAGAGGUGGUUCAGGAAAUGUUUGGAAAUUUUUUAAAGUAUUUCUUUACAUAUGUAUGGAAUAACCGGUUUCCAGUCAAAUAUAGUGCCAGUAGAAAAUGAUUAUUCCGUUGAAUCUGCAAAUCUGUAGGAAUACAAAAAAUUCACAGUAAGUGUAACAUAAAGUCUAGGAUUUUGCAAAAGUUUGAUUAUUUUUAUCAUAAGAAUAUAAAAGAAAUAUAUAAGAAUCGAAAAACAGUAAUAGUAAAACGUUUUUUAAAAUUUUUAUGGGUUCUCGUUUGAAAAUUUCGAUUAAAUUUUUUUUUUAAAAACUAAAAGCCUAAUUUUUAUUAUAUUAUGAAAAUCGUCCUGAGUGACUUAAAAACAAUAAAUAAUAUCAGAAGAAAAGAUAAAAUUUUCAUUUUUUUUUGUUUAGUACAGACCAGUUUGGAUUUGGAAUAUCCAAUAUCCAACUUUAAACAAUGAAACUUGAUACUCAUUACAGAUCAAUAAGAUCCCAAUAAUCCCAAUAAGAGGUCACUUCGAAUUUAAUACCCUGAUUAGGGAAUUCUUACAGCUCCGGAUUAGCUCUAGACCAAAGAUUUAAAGUUGUUUCAAAAGUUUCAGGCCCUUUUUUGGUGUAGAAGUAGUUGUCCUUCAGUCAAUAUACUGGGUCGUUCAUAUUCAUAGAGGCAACCAAAUUUAUAUUUUUAGCCUUUUCUCGUUAUUUCUCACUGAUAAAGUUUUGAAUUGUUAUACCGGGUAGUUUUAAAGAUAUAAGGAAUGUUAUAUCAAUUUCGUGACUUGAGCCCUUUGUAGUAUUGUGGACAGUUAAACUCUGUAUUUUAACAUCUGAAUAAAUUUUAAUACGGCCCAUUAGUAUUUAAAAUGAAUGACGAAUCUUGAUUUCAAGAUACAGUGUGAUGUAAAGACAUUUUCUCAAAAUAUUUUGUAAUAUACAGGGUCGUUUAUAUUCACAGAGGCAACCAAAUUAAUAUUUUUACUCUCACGUUCUUUCUCAUUGCAAUAUAGGAUUUUGCAGUAUUAUACAGGGUAGUUUGAAAGAUACAGGCAAUGUUUUAUUAAUUUCGUGACAACUUCAACCCUCUAUAGUAUUGUAGACAUUUACACUAUUGGUGUAGGGAAAGCAGUAGGAAAUAUCGUUAUUUACAAAUUGAAUACACCCUGAAGAAAUAAGUUCUUGACCAUGUUUACCAUAACCAAUUUUUUCUAAUUAAUUGUGGCACAGUUAAUCCACGAGCAGUUGCUGGCAAAGGGGUACCAUAAGCAGAUCGUUUUUUUGAUGCCUUUGUUGAUAGGAGUGUAUUCAACUAGAGGGUCUUCAAACAUUUUUGUUUGUUCAAAAUGUUUCUGGAUGAAAAUAAAAUGUUUUUUUUUAUUUUAAAGUACAAAAGUAUUAUAAUUUGAAUAUUUAAUAAAUUCGAUGGAGCAUGAUAUAUACCCAAAUUUUCACAUCAAAAUAGUUAGAAAUCGCUUCGGCACGAAACUAUUACUUUAGAUGUGAAACUACUUCAAGAAAUUUAAAAUUUGUUGUCUAUUAUAUUCUUAGAAUAAAGUUUGUUCAUACUGGCCUAGAUUUGGAAGUACAUACUUUGAAUUUUUUGUAAUUUCAUUUUAGGAUAAAAUUCGAGUAAUCAAAAAUCUUAGAACUAGUUCACCUUCCCAAAAAAAUAAACGUAACUUCAUCUUACUCUAAGUAUGAACAUUUCAAACGUAUAAAACUUUUUUUAAUCACCCUGAGUACACGUUAAUUGAAAAAAAAACAUCUCGAUUUCAACCUCGUAUUUAAAAAUGAUCAGAAGAGGAGCUCCAACCAAAACUUAUUCUAAAAAUUUGUGACAUUAAAGACCCUCCUGGAAAAUCAAGAAAAGAUUUUUUCAGGUAGAGUAAAUAUAUUUUGAAGGAGUAAAAUAAUUUACAAUCGAAUAAUUGAUAGUAAUUAUGAUAUAAACCUAACCUAAACACGUUAAUUGAACUACUGCUGAGAAUAAUCUAUUCUAGUACCAUGGAAUAAUUAUUGACAAUGAGAGUGUUAUGAAGCGAAAUAUACGCCUUCACCACCUUAAAAGUACUCAUGAAAUACUAAAAAAACAACCCUUAAUAAGCGGAAAAUUUUUGGUGUAAUUUGGUUUGUAGCCCUAAAUAUUUACCAAAGAUACUUUGAUCAGAAGCCCUUAGAAUACCUACGAAGUUUACUUAUAUUAAAUUCAUCAACCAUAUCUUACCGUAUAAAGAACUAAAGAAUUUCUGAAUCUUUUUGUAGCCUUUACAAUUUACUGCUGAUGUAGUGGUAGUUGAUAAAAAAAUGGUGAAUGUUUCCAUUAUUAAGGUACUACAUUUUUAUAUCAAUUCGUUUAUUGAUUGAUAUUGAUUAUCACUAUUCUAAACAAGCAUAAAAAGGGGUGGUUACCGAUCAUAGCAUAUUGUUGGACUGUGAGAGCAAAAAAUUUUAUUAUGAAGCUAAUACUAUCAAUUUUAAUAUUUUACUAAGAAAAAAAUACAAUUUCGGGCUCACUUUUUUGCUAGUUACUUGCGAUUGCAGGGGUAUCGCCUGAUUCAAGUGUAUAUUAAUUUUUGUGGCGCAUUCUAGGAAACAUUUCCUUAAACCUAAUCUAGCUUUCAAAUAACAAAUAUGUUAUUCAUAAUCUCACAAUUUUCUAGAGUUCUCACUAAGUUCUUGUUGCAUUUUGUAUCAUUCUUAGUGUAAUUUCUUUUUGUCCUCCUAUAAAGGUUCACACCAUCUGACUUCUUAGUCUUUCGUCUUUAAAAGUAGUGUCUAUUUUUUUAACAGGGUAACCUCUUUCAGCACUUUAGAUAGCCACUGUAUUGUAAUUGUUUUUGGAUCUAACGACUACUUUGAAGAUAUUUUUAAGUCAAUUUCCUAAUUUGUGGUCCAAGACAAAUGCCUUCCAACUUUGGUUGGCUCAUUCUGGAAAACAUUUCCUUCAAAAGUUUGAAACCUUCACUUCCUUUAUUAACAGUUUUAACUGAGUCCUUGAAACCUAAUUUUAUGUGAAGUGUAGACUCUAAUGGAACAUUAAGCAUAUUUUCUUCUCCAAUUACUUAUGGUCCUUUCCUAUGCCAGACUCUAAUGGUUUUUAGUGUUUCGGCUACUCGUAUUCCAUAACCAUAAGAAACAAUAAAAUUUCCCAGUGAACUCUUCAAUGGUUCAAAAACUUUCAAAUAACCAAUAUGUCAUUUAAAAUAUUGAACAUUUUUUCAGUUUCAGUAACACUUUUUAUUGAAUUUAGGUCUGGUCUUUUCUUAAAAGGUUUAAGCCCCCCGUCUUUAUAAGAACUUUGUUUUGUUUAAAAAUGAAAGAACAUUCCAGUAGUUGUCACCAAAUUUAGUACCUAACACGUGAGUAAAGCAUUAGAAAUAUUUGAAAUAUUAGUACUAAGGGACAGGUACGGUCAAGGUAGUCUAAUUUAGGUCCAGAAUUCUCUAUAUUUGGUAGCUACUAUUUUUUUUAUAGACGAUUUAGUAAUUAUUAGUUUUAACAAAGAAUAUCGAGAUGUUUUUUGUGUAAUUAAUAGAAUUGAAUUUUUUCAGUUGUAAAUUCAUCUACAUUUCAAAAGCUGUAUAUGAAAAACAAAGUAUUUAAUUUUUAUUUUGAAUGAAUUUGGAUAAAAUACCCACUGAAAAAUAUGUAGUGUAUCGAGUUUAAGAUAAAGACACAUCCAUACAAAGCAAUUGAGCCUUAUUUCAAAUAGACAAAUAGAGCGAAUCUUUUUAAAUAAAAAUGUUUAAAAUAAGAUAUUCCACCAAAAAAGUAUCGCAUCACGAAUAAAAAUGGCAACAUUGCUUAUAAAUCAUCGUUAGUGGAUUAUUUUUAGACCACAAGCUUUACGAAGAAGACAUCUUCUAGAGGUCUGAAAAUAGGGUAAAGUCGAUGGAUGCCAGAUCUGGAGAAUAUAGUGGAUGUCUUUUCAUUCAUUCAUUUCUUUAAUUGGAGUCUUUUCCCGCGAUUUCGUCCUCCAACGUUAAGUAAUAAUUUUCUUUUUUCAAGAUAAUCGUUAGUUAUUAUACCAUGCGCAUCCAAAAACACUGAUGCUAUUACUUUAACUAUCGACUUUUGCGUUUUCCCACCCUUUAAAGUCAGUUAAUCAUGUGCACUAUACUUGAUUAUACUCCAAUGUGAAAUGAUAUAGCCAUGUUUCACCCACUGUCACAAAUCGACGCUAAAUUUCGGGUUUAUUAUGAUUGAAAAGCUCCAAAAAUGAAUGAGAUGAAGCUUGCUCGUGUAGAUUUUAUUAGCGACGUCGCUAGUUGAGCAGACAGUCGUGGCUGUGCUUCCAAAUUGACGACGUUGCCAACCCGUCGCCAAGUGAUUUAUUGACCAUACAUUUUAAUACGAAUUAUUUGGAUAUGUAGCUGGCGACGUCUCUGUGAGGUAGGGCCCCAGCUUCAGCGAUUUAUCCAGGCAUUGAAGUCUUUCAUUGUAAUCUCCGAUACUACCCUCGUUGUAGAUGUUUGGAUGUCCUAAAUUUUUUCAAAUCUCUGAUUUUUGGGACAAGAAAGAAGUCGUAGAACGAUAAAUGCAGAGAAUAGGGUAGCUGGAAUCUUUCUAGAAGCUAAAAUCUGCGGUUUUUGAAACCAUUUUUGCACAGAACUUCUUAUCACAAAAUCUUGAAUUUAAAUCUGUCCGACAAUUCCUGGUAGUUGGUUCGUUUACUAUCACUCGAAACGUUAACAUAUGAUCUUUGUACUUUAGAGAAAGUAUACGCAACUCGUUAUUGACCGAUCUUUUUAUUCGUGUUUCAUCUUCCACGCUUUCCGGGCUCUCCUUGAACUUUUAUGACAAUGAAACACUAAAAUUACUUCACUCGAAAUGCUAAAACUCACAAAAUAAUAGUGAGUGCCAAAUUUAUACAAGUGUCAUUUUAAGGUUAGAGCUAAUCAAAAAUCAUAUGAAUUUUUUAGCUAUAAAAGGCUCAAAUAUUAAAAGCACUAAGCUGUGUUCGCAAGCACCAAAAGUUUAUUUCCGCUUUAUUAAAAUGAAGAAUCGAAAGAUCUCCUGUUUUUUUUUUCUUUUUAAUGUUACUGUAGAUAAAUUUUUACAACUGAAAAAUUUUUUUAAUGAUGUAUAUUAAUUUAAAAAAAUGACGUACCACUUUUAUUGUACAUGUCUGAAUUUAACGAAACCUAUCUACCUACUCUCUAGGACCAUACAGUUGAACUAACAGGGUUAAUCAUAAGAUGUGUUUUCAAAAUAAGACUGCUUAGAGAAUGACACGUAGGAAGGUAUACAGACAUGAAAGGGUUCAUUUUACCCCCAAAUGUUACGCUUAAUAUCCGAGUUCAACGUGAGUACUCAUCGUUUGUGAAAUGGUUGAAUAAAAAGUUCAUGUUUUCAAA